rnacentral:rRNA from 1 species
GACGAACGCUGGCGGCGUGCCUAAUACAUGCAAGUAGAACGCUGAAGGAGGAGCUUACUUCUCUGGAUGAGUUGCGAACGGGUGAGUAACGCGUAGGUAACCUGCCUGGUAGCGGGGGAUAACUAUUGGAAACGAUAGCUAAUACCGCAUAAGAGUAGAUGUUGCAUGACAUUUACUUAAAAGGUGCAAUUGCACCACUACCAGAUUGACCUGCGUUGUAUUAGCGAGUUGGUGGGGUAACGGCUUACCAAGGCGACGAUACAUAGCCGACCUGAGAGGGUGAUCGGCCACACUGGGACUGAGACACGGCCCAGACUCCUACGGGAGGCAGCAGUAGGGAAUCUUCGGCAAUGGACGGAAGUCUGACCGAGCAACGCCGCGUGAGUGAAGAAGGUUUUCGGAUCGUAAAGCUCUGUUGUAAGAGAAGAACGAGUGUGAGAGUGGAAAGUUCACACUGUGACGGUAUCUUACCAGAAAGGGACGGCUAACUACGUGCCAGCCGCCGCGGUAA